CCUACGGGAGGCAGCAGUGAGGAAUAUUGGUCAAUGGCCGCAGGGCUGAACCAGCCAAGUCGCGUGAGGGAUGACGGUCCUAUGGAUUGUAAACCUCUUUUGUCAGGGAGCAAAGGCCGCCACGUGUGGCGCUUUGCGAGUACCUGAAGAAAAAGCAUCGGCUAACUCCGUGCCAGCAGCCGCGGUAAUACGGAGGAUGCGAGCGUUAUCCGGAUUUAUUGGGUUUAAAGGGUGCGCAGGCGGAAUGUCAAGUCAGCGGUAAAAUUUCGGGGCUCAACCCCGUCGUGCCGUUGAAACUGGCGUUCUUGAGUGAGCGAGAAGUAUGCGGAAUGCGUGGUGUAGCGGUGAAAUGCAUAGAUAUCACGCAGAACUCCGAUUGCGAAGGCAGCAUACCGGCGCUCAACUGACGCGCAUGCACGAAAGCGUGGGUAUCGAACAGGAUUAGAUACCCGAGUAGUC
rnacentral:rRNA from 1 species